rnacentral:lncRNA from 7 species
CUUUCCUAGGUACGAAAUGAUUAUUUGUAACUGACUGUAUUUUUACAGUGAAAACCUCUUAUGGGACUGUGCAGCAUGAUGCAUUGGGCAAAAUGUAGACAACUGUAUAACCAGUCUUCAUCCAAUUACCCAUAGAAUACUUCACAGUCAUUUCAGCAAGCUGGGUCCUUUUGGAGAGUUCGAAUGAUAUCAGAUACCUAUUUUAGGAAGAACUGACUGCAAAAGGAGAUUGAUUUGCUGUCAUAGAUGAUUAUGCUGUUGUCAUCUAAAAGAUGAGAGCCACAUUUCCUAGCCAUGGAGCUUUUUGCAUAUAGAGCCUUGCUGCAAAUUACACUACCAGUAAUCCACUGGAGGAGCUGAAAAUGGCAAAGUGGCUAUGUGCUGAGGGAAGCUGAGGGCAGGACCCAGCAAGGGAACAGCGUCACAUUCAAGUGUGGUUUUCAAGAGGAAUAUUCCCCCCCUGGGCAUUUGCUACCUGAAGCACUCAAAGAGAUCACAACUGUGUAAAAAAAAAUCUGAGCUCCCUUCAGACUCUCUCAGCUUUUACAUCUCUGAAAUGGCUUCUCAUUGGCAAUACUUGAAGUUUAACUAUUGAAGCUCCCAGCACUGUGCCACAUCCAGCUUUGACUGUACUAACAGGGCAUUUCCUAGGCUAUAGGAUGGAGGUUGAAAGUACCCAAAUGCUAAGACCUAUUAGAGUUAAGUGCUGUGGUUUCCACUAUUUGUAUUUCAAGACUAAGAAACAGCUAUUUUAUCUCAAUAGGUUAGAAGAGUACAAGAGCAAAAAAAAGCCUAUCAAAGAAUGAAUUAAAAAAUAUAGAUACUUAUGUUUGUCAUAGGGGGAAAUAGUCCAUUAAAAGGCAAGACCCUCACAUUUUGUGGUUAGUUUCAUUUGCCAGUUUGGCUCCUAUGCAAAUAAAAUAGGAAUUUAUUACGAGAUUUGUAUCAUUUAAUCACUAUAUUUCUUGCAAUUUCUAGUUCUGGAGGUUCUGCAUAGGCUUGAACAGAGCUGCAGAGUUCAGUACUGUGUACUGACUCCUGUUUCCAGAGUUACCUAGUGGUUUCUAUCUGCCCUC